GGGUUCCCGCCUCCCGCAAGAUGGCAGCUGGCGAAGACGGGUUACCGCUGCCGCGGCUCCCCGACCUCUUCGAAAGCGGAGGGCAGCUUCUGGAAGAAGUGGAAGCAGCCACCGAACCCACCGGCUCCCGGAUAGUCCAGGACAAGGUGUCCAAGGGACUGGACCUUCUCCAGAAGGCUGCCGAAAUGUUAUCGCAGCUCGACUUGUUCAGCCGAAAUGAGGACUUGGACGAGAUUGCUUCCACAGACCUGAGGUACCUGAUGGUGCCAGCGUUUCUAGGAGCUCUCACCAUGAGGCAAGUCGACCCCAGCAAACGUCUAGAUCAUUUGCAGCUGGCUCGGGAACACUUUAUAAACUUCUUAACUCAGUGUCAUUACUAUCAUGUGGCAGAGUUUGAGCUGCCCCAAACCAGCAGCAACUCAGCUGAGAAUAACACUGCUAGUUCCUCGGUGGCCUGUCCUAGCCUCGUCGUUAUGGCAUCUCAAAGACAGGCUAAAAUAGAGAGAUACAGGCAAAAGAAGGAGGUGGAGCAUAAGUUGUCUACCCUGAAAUCUGCUGUGGAAAUUGGUCGAGCUGAUGAUGAGUGUGUUCGAGAAUAUUACAUCCUUCACCUUCGGAGGUGGAUUGCUAUCAGCAUAGAAGAGAUUGAGAGCAUUGACCAGGAAAUAAAGAUCCUGAGAGAAAAAGAGUCAUCAAAAGAGGCAUCAACUUCACACUCAUCUCUCCAGGAGAGGCCUCCAGUGAGACCCUUCAUUCUCACUCGAAACAGGGCUCAAGCCAAAGUAUUCGGAGCUGGUUAUCCAAGUCUGGCAUCCAUGACAGUGAGUGACUGGUAUGAUCAGCAUCAGAAAUGUGGAGCAUUGCCAGAUCGCGGAGCAGCCAUGACAACGUCAGAGUUCGGAAGAGCAGCCCAGCAACAGGAAGAACAAGAACAAAAGGAAGAAGACGAUGAUGACCAAACACUCCACAGAGCUCGGGAAUGGGACGACUGGAAGGACACUCAUCCGAAGGGCUAUGGCAACCGACAGAACAUGGGAUAAUCUUCCCACAACACCACAGGACUCCCAGGCCCACAUCUUUCUCACCACGGAAAACUGUGUAGCAGUCUUCCGCUUCCUGGGCUCCUGCUUUAGCUGUGUACAAUGAAACCACAGAGGCUGAAUCUUGCUUUGUAUUUAAUAAAGCGUCAAAUAAUUAAGUGUGUAUUUGUACCCUAGAUGAUGAGCCAGCAAUCUCGUUUUGGUAUUAUUAUCCUCAUCAUGGUGUAUUCCAAUUUCUUAAGUGUAAAGAGCACUUAGAAAUGGCUCUGUAUAAUCAAUGGCUGUAUGAAUUCUCUUUAAAAAAUAAUAAAAGUCCCUCCUAUUAAGUGAACCGGUGCAUAAAUAAAUAAAUAAAUUGUGUAGAGUAGCACAAGUAAUUAAAACAAUACUAUUAAUAUAACCCAACCUGCUGAGCUCCUAACUAAAUUGACACAACUCCUGUAUUGACAAUCUGACCAAAUACUGAUGCUUAUUUCUAUGUGUAAAUAUUGUUUGCCUGCAUCUCUGUUGUUCUUUUAUACAUGUCUGUCAGUCAAAAAGUACAAAACAUGAAUCCUGCAAGAAAAUAAUUACCUGUUAUCAAGAGAUAAACCAGUCCAUGGAACCAGACCCAGGGAUGAAUUAGGCAUUAGAACUAUCUGACAGGAACUUUAAACAUAACUCUGAUUAAUAUGCUAAAUAUUGUGCUGGAAAAUGGGGAUAACUUCAUGAAUAUAUCAGGAAUUUCAAUAGUUGUAGGGUCAAGAAAUGCUGUCAGUUAUGUCUUGCUGUUUUCAAGAUAUACUCUUGAUUUUUCAUAAGUUUGAUUAUGAUGUUUCUA